AUCCAUUGCAGCAGCAACAACGCUAUGUGUUACAAUCUCCAGAUGUGAAUAACAGCAGCAACACUCACGAAGAGCUCUAGAGGAGGAGUUAGAUUUGUUGGACAGGCAGCUGGGGGCUUUUCAUUUGCAGGCGCAUGAACAGCCUCCAGCAAAUAAUAAGAUGCCCGAGCAGCAUACCUGCGUGAUAGACCAGUUGCCAAUACCGAUUCUGACGAGGAUCGAGGAUAAUGACGUGCCUGAAUGGGUCAGGCAAAGGGUCGCUGAAAUAGAGGCGGAGAGGCAUCGUGGUCUCUGCCCUGUUAGAUGAUGAUUGUUUUGUUAGAUGAUUGUUUUGACGGAGUGGUGGAGUUGCCCGAUGAAGUGUUCAUGCCUUGGAGC